CAGUCGUGAGGAAGGUAGUGUAGUUAAUAGCUGCAUUAUUUGACGUUAGCGACAGAAGAAGCACCGGCUAACUCCGUGCCAGCAGCCGCGGUAAUACGGAGGGUGCGAGCGUUAAUCGGAAUUACUGGGCGUAAAGCGCAUGCAGGUGGUUUGUUAAGUCAGAUGUGAAAGACCCGGGGCGUCAACCUCGGAAUUGCAUUUGAAACUAGGCAGACUAGAGUACUGUAGAGGGGGGUAGGAAGUUUCAGGUGUAGCGGUGAAAUGCGUAGAGAUCUGAAGGAAUACCGGUGGCGAAGGCGGCCCCUGGACAGAUACUGACACUCAGAUGCGAAAGCGUGGGGAGCAAACAGGAUUAGAUACCCUGGUAG
rnacentral:rRNA from 1 species